rnacentral:lncRNA from 1 species
GGUUUGAAAGGUCGACAAAAGCAAAUAAAAUCUCAUACUAGAACAUAAAUUCUUUCUAGGACAUUCUAGGACUCUUUUCUCGUACACUAGGUGUGGAUCUUCCGUGGUACUCCUCUCCAUCAGUCUCAAAGCUUCACGAAACAAAUCUGCCGAUGCUUCAUUGUCGCCCGUGACUAUUGUUCCGUAUGAAAAAGGCUACAAAGUUAUCAUACCCGUCAUGUACUUUGCUUGCGCCAAUGCCGACAUUACAGCUCCAACCCAUCUAUCACUGGGUUUCUCCUUUGCAAGCUAAAGAGCCCUGAAGAAGAAACAAAACAAAUGUGAGAGACAACUUCACCGUGACUCAACGUUUUGUCAACGUGCGACGGUGAGCUGGAGCGGGAGAACCAAAAUCUGGCUGUCCAACCAAUACUGCAAUCGCUGAAUAAACGAACAAU